CCUACGGGAGGCUGCAGUGAGGAAUAUUGGUCAAUGGACGGAAGUCUGAACCAGCCAUGCCGCGUGCAGGUAGACGGCUCUAUGAGUUGUAACCUGCUUUUGUACAAGGCUAAACCUUAAUACGUUUAUUCAGCUGAAAGUACUGUACGAUUAAGGAUCGGCGAACUCCGUCCCAGCAGCCGCGGUAAUACGGAGGAUCAAAGCUUUAUCCGGAUUUAUUGGGUUUAAGGGGUGCGUAGGCGGAUUGAUAGGUUAGAGGUGAAAUGUCCGAGCGUAACUCGGGAACUGCCUCUAAUACUGUUGAUCUAGAAAGUAGAUGCGGUAGGCGGAAUGGAUGGUGUAGCGGUGAAAUGCUUAGAGAUCAUACAGAACACCGAUUGCGAAGGCAGCUUACCAAUCUAUAUCUGACGUUGAGGCACGAAAGCGUGGGGAGCAAACAGGAUUAGAUACCCCAGUAGUC
rnacentral:rRNA from 1 species